rnacentral:rRNA from 1 species
AUUGAACGCUGGCGGCAUGCCUUACACAUGCAAGUCGAACGGUAACAGGUCUUCGGAUGCUGACGAGUGGCGAACGGGUGAGUAAUACAUCGGAACGUGCCCGAUCGUGGGGGAUAACGAAGCGAAAGCUUUGCUAAUACCGCAUAAGAUCUACGGAUGAAAGCAGGGGACCGCAAGGCCUUGCGCGAACGGAGCGGCCGAUGGCAGAUUAGGUAGUUGGUGGGAUAAAAGCUUACCAAGCCGACGAUCUGUAGCUGGUCUGAGAGGACGACCAGCCACACUGGGACUGAGACACGGCCCAGACUCCUACAGGAGGCAGCAGUGGGGAAUUUUGGACAAUGGGCGAAAGCCUGAUCCAGCCAUGCCGCGUGCAGGAUGAAGGCCUUCGGGUUGUAAACUGCUUUUGUACGGAACGAAAAGACUCUGGUUAAUACCUGGGGUCCAUGACGGUACCGUAAGAAUAAGCACCGGCUAACUACGUG